rnacentral:rRNA from 1 species
UACGUAGGGCGCAAGCGUUGUCCGGAAUUAUUGGGCGUAAAGAGCUCGUAGGCGGCUUGUCACGUCUGCUGUGAAAUCCCGGGGCUCAACCCCGGGCGUGCAGUGGAUACGGGCUGGCUAGAGGCAGGCAGGGGAGAACGGAAUUCCCGGUGUAGCGGUGAAAUGCGCAGAUAUCAGGAAGAACACCAAUGGCGAAGGCAGCUCUCUGGGACGGUACUGACACUGAGACGCGAAAGCGUGGGGAGCAAACAGG